UCCCUGGAGUGUGUGACCAAGCGAAAGUAGCUUAUAGCAAAAUCGGGCACUAUGAAUGGGAAA
rnacentral:sRNA from 22 species